rnacentral:lncRNA from 1 species
CAUUGUACAACAUACAUGUGUAUUUUUCCAGCCACAGUAUUUAAAACGCAUGUUUAUACAACAUAAUGUAUUCAAUAUUACAAUGGAUUUCAGAAUGUACUGUAGCCAAAGUGUUACCAAAUUAAUUGUUGAUCAUGUGUUAAUUGAAGGGUCCAUAUAUGGUAAAGCCCAGAGAUUUAGAGCUCCUCAUUGGCUGUCUGGUGGAUUGAGAGUUUCGGGGCAGGACUACAUUCAGGAAGUGGGACCUGUUCUGCUUCAGUCCCAGGCCCACUGUCUGCUCCAAGCCCAGGUUCAGUUAACUCUCAGUGUGGUCAAAGGGGAGUCCACUCCACCAACCACAGCCCAUUGGGAGACCUGAGAGAAAGAGACAACAUUUAAGAAAUAUCUCAUGAUACUCUUAGGGAAUGGGCAAAAAAAGCCAUGAAAGGAAAUUAAAGAUUACACCCAGUGCGUGCGAAGUUGGCCAUGUAUGCCAUCGCUAUCCUGCUUAACACUUCGUCCUCUUCACUGGUCGGUCCAUCAGGGGACACACAUAGUAUGUAUAUAAUCUCUGGAUGGAGAGUUAAUGCAGUGAUGACACAGGGAUGUUGUAAGUUACAUGGUGAGACAGGCUGCACUGAAUGCAUCCCGUAUGUCCUCUGGGUUUUUCGCAUGCUGGAGGUAUUCCUCUACAAUGAGCCCAUUAAGACCAGAUGUCAUGAUUUCAAACUGAUAAGAUUGCAUCCUUUAAAGCUAUAAUCCUUUUUGAAAUAAUUGAAAUAAUAACAAUAAUUGAAAUAAUAACAAUAAUUGAAAUAAUAACAAAGUGUAACCCGGCCUCUGUUUUGGUAAAAAGCUGAGGCAAAGGCCUGGAUAUCGGUAACCACUAUCAAAUUCAUAGACUGCUAUGGAUGCAAGGACUGACCCUCUAUGAUAUAAAAAUUAUAGUUUUAACCAUGUUUUGAGGCUAUACAUUUACAUUGUUUACAAACAUUGUAGUAAAACAAGCUUAUAUUUUGGGUUCUGAUGGGCUGGAACAGUUCAACUAAACUCAAUAGGAAUUUAUAGGCUACAUUCUUCAAGAAUCAAUGGGUAUGCAGUAUAUCAUUCAUUUAUAAUUCCAAAAAUGUAUGUAGCAAUGAAGGAUUCUAGCUAUAAAAUGUUGACUUUUUGUCCACCUAUUGCAAUCUAACAACCAGUGGAAUGAACUAUUGGUGUAUCCCUUUACACUUGUACCCGUAUACGGGUUGAAAAUGACAGAUGACAAGUGACAAGUGACGUGACAAGACUUUUGCUAUUUUUUUGUUGUUGACUGAGUGAAGGAAAUGAGGGAAAUGCUGUAAAUGAAGAGGACUCAAUGUAUUCAAUGAGGAUUAUAAUACAUUUCGCUUUGAUGUCAAACAAGCAAAUCAAACCCCACUUGAGUCUAAAUGUGCACUUCCCAUUUCCAUAUCAUAAAACUCAUGUCAUACGGUGUCAAUGUUUAUGAUCCCUAUGUUUGAUGUUCAGUUACAAUAUGACAUGGCGUCAUACCGUGGGUUUUUCUGAACAGAAUGAGACGUUUGCCUAUUGUAACACAAUUUGCCGCCACCAAAAUGAUGAUCUGUUUCUCUGCAUUGCCUUGUGAAAGCCUAACACAAUAGGAUCUUAUUUUAAAACUUAGUUAGCUCAUGUCGGCAAUAGAACAAGCUUUCAAAUGAUGCCCACCUGACCCAGGAUGCGAUUUAUGAAUGGUCAGUUUUUGGCGGAAACAACAAUAAUUGUGUGAUUGCAGGGUUGUGUUCCAAACAAAACAACGUCAAGUGUGAUUACUCUAGUUCCUCAACUGCACAGCUAGGAGAGCUAAAAAAAAAGCACUUUAUAGUUGAAAACCCUUCUUUGAGUCAUAAAAGUGCAUUGAAAUGACUUGUCUGGUCACUUGGCGACACCACUCAAACCCUUGUCUUAUGUUGCACCUACCCCACUUUUCCAGGACAAUUCUUAUCAUGUUACUGAAUUCAUCCAGAGUAUUUUCUGAUUUCGUUAUCAACAAAUGCAGCGAAAAGUACAGUAAAUGUAAAAUGCACGUAAAAUCAACAGUGUAAUGUUUGGAUUCAGUCUUGUGUAAGGUGAACUGUUGUAUCCUCAACCUUUGUCUAAUACUCCAAACUAGUCCCUUUCAAUUGCUACCAUGCUUAUGCAUUUAAUAUUUAUUCUGUAAGAAACAUUUCAAUUUAUUCCUAUCAAUAUACAGUGCAUUUGGAAAGUAUUCAGACCUCUUGACUUUUUCCACAUUUUGUUAUGUUACAGCCUUAGUCUAAAAUUGAUUAAAUUAAAUGUUUUUCCUCAUCAAUCUACACCCCAUAAUGACAAAGCGAAAACAGGUUUUUAAAAUGUUUUGCAAAUGUAUAAAAUAAAAUAAAACAGACUACUUAUUUACAUAACUAUUCAGAACCUUUGCUAUGAUACUCAAAAUUGAGCUCAGGUGCAUCCUUGAUCCUUGAGAUGUUUCUACAGCUUGAUUAGAGUACACCUGUGGUCAAUUAAAUUGAUUGGACAGGAUUUAGAAAGGCACACACCUGUCUAUAAAAGGUCCCACAGUUGACAGUGCAUGUCAGAGCAAAAACCAAACCAGGAGGUCGAAGGACUUUUCAGUAGAGCUGCCGAGACAGGAUUGUGUCAAGGCACAGAUCUGGGGAAGGGUACGUAAACAUUUCUGCAGCAUUGAAGGUCCUCAAGACCACAGUUGCCUCCAUCAUUCUUAAAUGGUAGAAGUUUGGAAUCAUCAAGACUCUGCCUAGUGCUGAACGCCCGGCCAAACUUAGCAAUCGGGAGAGAAGGGCCUUGGUCAGGGAGGUGACCAAGAACCUGAUGGUCACUCUGUUAGAGCUCCAGAGUUCCUCUGUGGAGAUGGGAGAAACUUCCAGGACAACCAUCUCUGCAGCACUCCCCCAAUCAGGCCAGACGGAAGCCACUCCUCAGUAAAAGGCACAUGACAGCCCCCUUCGAGUUUUCCAAAAGGCACCUAAAGACUCUCAGACCAUGAGAAACAAGAUUAUCUGGUCUGAUGAAACCAAGAUUGAACUCUUUGGCCUGAAUGCCAAGCAUCACAUCUGGAGGAAACCUGGCACCAUCCCUAUGGUGAAGCAUGGUGGUGGCAGCAUCAUGAUGUUGGGAGUUUUUGGAGCGACAGGGACUGGGAGACUAGU